UUCCCCAAUGAAACAGUGACUCUGAGGUGUGUAAUUCAAGGCAGCUCUGCAGAGUGGAUGUAUAAAUGGUACAGAGAUGGACGGGAGCUUCCUGUAGACAAGGCUGACUCGAGCAGUGUAAAUGGAGACACAUACACAAUCCUCUCUGCUGAUCAGUCACAUGCUGGACUGUACACCUGCAGAGGAGAACUUACAAGGAGAGCAUCUGUACACUCUCUGAUUGGCAGCUCUGCUACAUUGACUGUACGAGCUCUGCCUCAGGCGGUAGUGACCCUGGAUGAAGGAUGGAUGGGGGUCUUCAUCACUAAAGGCACUCUAGCAAUGAGGUGUGAGCUUCUGGGCUUUACUUCUGCUGACUGGAACUACACGUGGUACAGAGACGGAACCCAGAGCUCACUAAACCACACUGGAGAGAGGCACACAGUGGGAUUCUGGGAUAGCUCCUCUGAUGGUGAAUAUAGAUGUAGAGGGAACAGGACAGACAGACCGUACUACUCCCUCAUCAGUGAAGGCUUCAUGCCAAGCCAUAUCAUUUACCGUGCUGUGGAGAAUGUGGUUCGGAUCUGUGUGGGCGUGGCAGUCCUCCUCUUUCUGUCAAUCAUUGUGAAUCCAGCCUUCUGGAGAUGGGUAUCACGCCGGAAAGUGGUACACAGUGGGGAGGAACUGGCUGAACAAACUGACCAUACCUGACCACACAGCGUGGCAUGAGUUUAUUUUCAUUAUUGCUUUGCUAAAUAUUACAUGACAUAUUGUAUCAUUUAUUAAAGUAGACUUGCUAAAAUAUAUAUAAAAAUGUGCAUCUUACGGGCUUGAAGGCUUAAUGUAAUAUCUGGCGAAACAUGGCUUUGAAAUACAGGAGUUUUUUCAUGAAUUACCAUUAUGGAUAGUUUGCACUCUUACACAGUCCUGUUCAUUGCAUUAGUUCUAAUCAGUGUACAAUAUAAAUGUCAGCAAUAGAAGGGCAACUCAUUUUAGAGAAGUAAUAGUAAUAUAUCUGGCAUUUUCCACCUGCAUACUGUUCUUUGUGUAGGGUAGGGUAGUACAUGGGUAGGUAACUGGCCUUGUAACCUAAAGGUUACAGGUUUGAUUCCCAGAUGGGGCACUGCCAUUGUGUCCCUGAGCAAGGUACUUAACCUGCAUUGCUCCAGUACAUAUUCAACUGUAUAAAUGGAUGCAAUGUAAAUUGUGUAAAAGAAGCUCUAGAUCAGAGUGUCUGCUAAUUGGCUGUAAUGUAAAUUUGGGAACUUGCCUUACCUUUGCAAAAACGUUUUUUUCAUAUUGUAUAAACACACGUUGGACUUUCAAACCCAGCUCAACAA